CGUUCGACGUGUGUGGUGUCGCCGUGCGUGGCUAGCUAGUCGCAGCUCCAGCUCUACAUGGUCCGCUAGGGCAUGUCGCGGCCCGCCGACGGCCGCACCGGCGCCGCCAGGCUCGGACGGCUCCAGCAGCCGCGCCGGCCAGUCCUCUCGUCCGCCCGUCCGCUGCCGCCCCUCCGCCACUCCUCCCGCCACCGCCUCUCGGGCCACGACCACCACCCCUCCGCGCCCACGACGGAGUCGGUGCACCACCUCGCCGACGACGUCCCCGAGCCCCACUUGGGGCGGCACGUGCUCCAGCGGCUGCUCCGACUCGAGCGGCGCCGCCACUGACCUCUGCGGCCGCUGCUCCGGCAGCACCGCGACGGCCGGCAAAAGCACCCGCCCUCCGAGGAGCCGCCCGAGCUGGCCGAGUACCGGCAAGUGUAGAGGCCGCUCGAGCACGGGUAUGAGUUCCUGCGACCGCGCGAGACCGAGACUCUGUAAAACUAAUCCUCAAUCAUGUCGGUCAUUAGAGAAGAGGAAGAGUAAAGAAGAAAACUGAGCACUCCAGUACACUUAAUGACGACGAGCUGGAAGGAGAGACGAACCCUAGUUAGUCAUUACCACUACUAUCAAUCGAUCUGCUACUAUCAAAAUUUAAGAAAAAUUCACUUAAAUCAAAGCUGGUGUGUGCGGACAUUUAUCUAGCUACUCACUUCUACCUACAUGAGAUGACCUCAUAAAUCGUGAGGUACAUUUACUACGAGCAAGGGAAGACAUGUCGUCGAUCGAAACGUACCAAGAGACCUA
rnacentral:rRNA from 1 species